rnacentral:rRNA from 1 species
GAGUCGGACCUGCCCGGUGAAUAGUUUUAACGGCCGCGGUACUCUGACCGUGCAAAGGUAGCAUAAUCAUUUGCCCUAUAAUUGAGGGCUAGUAUGAAUGGUUUGACGUGAACAAAGCUGUCUCUAUAUAAUUUUCUAGAACUUGGUUUUUAGGUGAAGAAACCUAAAUAUUAUUGAAAGACAAGAAGACCCUAUUGAGCUUUAAAGAAAUAAGCUGAAAACAAUGAUAUAAGUUUAAAUAUUAAUCUGUUUAAGAUUUUGGUUGGGGCGACUAUGGAACAAAUAAAGCUUCUUUAUUAUUAGAAGACUCUCAAGUUUUGAUCCAAAAGUUUUGAUUAAUGGAAUUAGUUACCAUAGGGAUAACAGCAUAAUUCUCUUUGAGAGCUCUUAUCGAAAAGAGAGUUUGUGACCUCGAUGUUGGACUAGAAUAUCCUAAAGAUGUAGCAGUCUUUAAGGGUUGGUC